rnacentral:piRNA from 1 species
UUGGAUACUCUUUCAGGUAAAGGCGUUC